rnacentral:rRNA from 1 species
UACGUAGGUGGCGAGCGUUGUCCGGAUUUACUGGGCGUAAAGGGAGCGUAGGCGGACUUUUAAGUGAGAUGUGAAAUACUCAGGCUCAACUUGAGUGCUGCAUUUCAAACUGGAAGUCUAGAGUGCAGGAGAGGAGAAUGGAAUUCCUAGUGUAGCGGUGAAAUGCGUAGAGAUUAGGAAGAACACCAGUGGCGAAGGCGAUUCUCUGGACUGUAACUGACGCUGAGGCUCGAAAGCGUGGGGAGCAAACAGG